CAAAAGCUACAGUCCACACGUAGAGUUGGCAACGCUAGUGGCAGAUCGCGAUAAAAAAACAUACUACAAAAGCACCGAAAAAAACAUCAGAAACCAAUUUGAAUUCCCAAAUACAUAUUUAUUGUUUUGACAAAAAGGAAGCGACAAGAUGAGCGGAAAAGCUGAUAUUGCACUUAUUGGACUGGCCGUGAUGGGCCAGAAUCUCAUAUUGAAUAUGGACGAGAAGGGGUUUGUUGUGUGCGCCUACAACCGCACGGUGGCCAAGGUCAAAGAGUUUCUCGCUAACGAGGCCAAAGGCACAAAUGUGAUUGGCGCUGAGUCACUGAAGGACAUGGUCGAGAAGCUAAAAACGCCGCGAAAAAUUAUGCUGUUGGUCAAGGCCGGCAGCGCCGUCGACGACUUCAUCGAGCAACUAGUGCCGCUGCUUUCCCGCGGCGAUGUGAUUAUUGAUGGCGGCAACUCUGAGUACCAGGACACAUCGCGUCGCUGCGCCGAGUUGGAGAAGCUGGGACUGCUUUUUGUGGGCUCAGGCGUCAGCGGAGGCGAGGAGGGUGCCCGUCACGGACCCUCCCUGAUGCCCGGCGGACACGAAGCCGCCUGGCCCCUGAUUAAGCCUAUCUUUCAGGCCAUCUGCGCCAAGGCUGAUGGCGAGCCCUGUUGUGAGUGGGUCGGCGAUGGGGGUGCGGGCCACUUUGUCAAGAUGGUGCACAAUGGCAUCGAGUAUGGAGACAUGCAGUUAAUCUGCGAGGCCUACCACAUUAUGCAGAGCCUGGGUCUGUCCGCCACCCAGAUGGCUGAUGAGUUCGGCAAGUGGAACUCGGCCGAGCUAGACUCUUUCCUCAUCGAGAUCACGCGCGACAUUCUGAAGUACAAAGACACCAAGGGACACCUGCUGGAACGGAUUCGGGAUACGGCCGGCCAGAAGGGUACGGGCAAAUGGACUGCCAUUGCCGCCCUACAAUACGGCGUUCCCGUGACGCUCAUUGGCGAGGCUGUCUUCUCCCGCUGCCUAUCCGCCCUCAAGCAGGAGCGCGUCCAUGCUAGCGGUGUGCUCAAGGGUUCCUCAGUGAAGCCGAGCGUUGCAAAUGUGACAAAGUUCCUCGACGACAUCAAGCACGCUCUGUACUGCUCCAAAAUUGUUAGUUACGCGCAGGGAUUUAUGCUGAUGCGGGAGGCGGCCAAGGAAAACAACUGGAGGCUGAACUACGGUGGUAUUGCGCUGAUGUGGCGCGGCGGCUGCAUCAUACGCAGCGUCUUUCUGGGAAACAUCAAGGACGCGUACACAUCGCAGCCGCAGCUGUCCAACCUCCUGCUGGACGACUUCUUCAAGAAGGCCAUUGAGCGAGGCCAGGACUCGUGGCGCGAGGUGGUGGCCAAUUCCUUCCGCUGGGGCAUUCCAGUGCCAGCGCUCUCCACCGCCCUAAGCUUCUACGACGGCUAUCGCACCGCCAAGCUUCCCGCAAAUCUUCUCCAGGCCCAGCGAGACUACUUUGGGGCCCACACCUACGAGCUGCUUGGCGACGAGGGCAAGUUCCAUCACACCAACUGGACGGGCACCGGCGGCAAUGUAUCGGCCAGUACCUAUCAGGCAUAGGCGUUGAUACCGUCCCCCCGCACACACCAAACCCACAUUCCAUGUCAUAAGCUGGUGUUCGGGCUGCUCCCUGAUACUAGUUGGAAGUUAAAAUUGUUUUUUUUUAGGGUAGCAGUACCUAUUUAUAACGUUAAUAUAUAUCAAACUAUAGCGAUUCCUUCACUGGUGGUUCAAAAAUAAGGCCUACAUAUAUAACUUGGCUUCCAUAAAAUCAUCAACAAUGAGCAAAAAGCUUUAUCCAGUUAGAAUUGUGUAGUAACGAGUCUUUCGAGUUGUAAAUAUAUAUAUUAUUAAUCUGA